rnacentral:rRNA from 1 species
GAACUUAAGCAUAUCAAUAAGCGGAGGAAAAGAAACCAACAGGGAUUGCCUCAGUAACGGCGAGUGAAGCGGCAACAGCUCAAAUUUGAAAUCUGGCCGCAAGGUCCGAGUUGUAAUUUGUAGAGGAUGCUUUUGGCGAGGUGCCUUCCGAGUUCCCUGGAACGGGACGCCAUAGAGGGUGAGAGCCCCGUACGGUAGGACCACCAAGCCUCUGUAAAGCUCCUUCGACGAGUCGAGUAGUUUGGGAAUGCUGCUCUAAAUGGGAGGUGUACGUCUUCUAAAGCUAAAUACCGGCCAGAGACCGAUAGCGCACAAGUAGAGUGAUCGAAAGAUGAAAAGCACUUUGAAAAGAGGGUUAAAAAGUACGUGAAAUUGUUGAAAGGGAAGCAUUCAUGACCAGACUUGGGCUUGGUUGAACAUCCGGCGUUCUCGCCGGUGCACUCUGCCAGUCCAGGCCAGCAUCAGUUUGCCCCGGGGGAUAAAGGCGGCGGGAAUGUGGCUCCCUUCGGGGAGUGUUAUAGCCCGUCGUGUAAUGCCCUGGGGCGGACUGAGGAACGCGCUUCGGCACGGAUGCUGGCGUAAUGGUCAUCAAUGACCCGUCUUGAAACACGGACCAAGGAGUCGUCUUCGUAUGCGAGUGUUCGGGUGUCAAACCCCUACGCGUAAUGAAAGUGAACGUAGGUGAGAGCUUCGGCGCAUCACCGACCGAUCCUGAUGUUCUCGGAUGGAUUUGAGUAAGAGCAUACGGGGCCGGACCCGAAA